AAGCAAGAAGUUGUGUUUGGGCCUUGGGCCUUGAGAAGGCUGACCCAAAUUGGGGUAUAGACGCCUAAUAGAAAAUGAAAAUCCCCCGGCGUCACCACUCGUCUCCUCACCGGACCAAUCAAGAAACGCCGCAAUAGAAAGCACUAGCCACCAUCGGAGUAGCUUGUGUGCGGUGGUGCUGGUGUUAGUUGGAUGCAAAUAAGAGAUGCCACCAAAGCAACAAUCAAAAGCCGAUUUAGCGAAGAAGCAGAAGAUCGUCGAAGACAAGACCUUCGGGCUCAAGAACAAAAACAAGAGCAAGAAUGUACAGAAAUAUGUACAGAAUCUCAAGCAAUCCGUACAGCCCAACCCUGACCCUACUAAGGUCGCAGCAAAGAAAAAGAAGGAGGAAGAUAAGGCCAAAGAGAAGGAGCUGAACGAUUUGUUCAAGGUUGCUGUUAGCCAGCCAAAAGUUCCCAUUGGUGUUGAUCCCAAGUCUAUAUUGUGCGAAUUCUAUAAAGUGGGACAGUGUGCUAAAGGUUUCAAAUGCAAAUUUUCACACGAUUUGAAUGUUCAGAGGAAAGGAGAAAAGAUUGAUCUUUAUAGUGAUAAGCGUGACCAAGAAACAAUGGAGGAUUGGGAUCAAGAGACUUUGGAAAAGGUUGUGGAGUCAAAGAAAACGGAGUAUAAUCAAAACAAACCUACUGAUAUUGUUUGCAAAUAUUUUCUGGAAGCUGUGGAGAAGAAACAAUAUGGCUGGUUUUGGGUCUGCCCAAACGGUGGUAAAGAUUGUCAUUAUCGGCAUGCUCUUCCUCCAGGAUAUAUAUUAAAAUCACAGAUGAAGGCUUUGUUAGAGGAAGAGACUGAAAAGAUUCCAAUUGAGGAGGAGAUUGAAAAUCAGGUGAUAACAUUUUUGCUUACGAUAGCAACGGGUCAUUUCUCUUAUUGCACAACAGAUCAUAUAUCAUUUUUUGUUAUGUUCAUUACUUUUACCAUCCAAUAGUUUUUCGCUAAAUAAAUGUUCUUGAUUUUAGCGUGCCAAAGUGACAACUUCAACCCCUAUGACUCCUGAGUUGUUCAUGCAAUGGAAGAAGAAAAAAAUAGAAGAGAGAGAUGUUGGUUUGGCUGCACAGAGGGCAGAGAGGGCUAAGAAUGAUCGAAUGAGUGGCCGUGAGCUGUUUCUAUCAGAUUCUAGUAUUUUUGUGGAUGAUGCUGAGGCAUACGAGGAAUAUCAAAGAGAGGAACGACCUGAUGCUCCUGAAGAGAAGGUAAAUUAUCCACUUAUGUGAUUUUCAAACAAACAAGCUCAUAUAAAUAGAAGUAAUUAAAAAAAGAUUGUUGCCUUUGCAUGUCAUCUAGAUGAGGUUAAUGCACAAAAACUGUUGUAAUAUAUGGAGAUCAUUAAUAUUAUAACAAUCUAUUACACAUCAAAGGAGAAGGGUCAGGAAGUUGAAUAGGGAGACUGAAAUGAAUUGUAUGAGUAAAUAGAUGUUAGUGAAUUGGAGGGAAAAAUAAGCAGUUAGCUAGCUGGGGAAUUGGAAGGAAGAUCUAGAUAGGAAGUUAUUCAGUAUAACUACUUAGCUAGUAGCUGAGAAGUAGUUAUGACGUGUCACCGGCAGUUACUGAGUAACAGUACUGCCAUAUAGAGCACAUAGCUACUCUUGUAAAGAUUACCUAUCAUCUUUCAAGAAAUAAUAAUUCUCCCUUAUCCUUUUCUUCUAAAUUCUCUACUCUAUCUGUUCUAUCUUUAUUCUUUCUAUUCUUCUCUAUUUCUCUUAUAUUCUCUUUGUUAGGGUUCCUAAACCCUAGCACAAUUGUAGCUGAUUCUUUAGAAAUAUAUUAUUAUAGCACAUACUUAAUAUAUUUGUUACAGUUGUAGGCAAGACUAUUUCCAGGUUAUGAUGCUUUCAUUAAAACAAAUAGUUUUUAGUAAAUAUCACUUUAUGAGGCUUGGAUGGAAAUCAGAUUGGUUCAAUUAUUGUUGCGAAUGAAAUUUCAGACUUGAUAUUAACUCUGUUGGAUGGAGAAGGGAUUAUCUCAAUCAAUAAAUGCUAUUCUUUGAUACUCAUUAUUUUCAUGAAUCAAAAUUUCAUCCUUGGUUAUAAUUUGAACUAGGACAUAGAAUAUAGGCCAUAAUUGUCAAAUAAUUCACAAAAAUUUUAAAUUUUGUGGAGUACAUGCAUGUUGUAGUCAUUAACCCUUUUAUGGAUCUGCUGAUGAAGGCUGUUAACUUUAUUAGCUGGCCCUGUCUGACCUUCUCUGUGAUAAUUGUUCAAUUUCAGAAUAUCCCAUCCCACUCUCCUAUAGAAAUAUGAUAGACAGCCUAGCCUCCCUCCUCCCCCACCCAAUGCACAGCAAAACACACAAGCCAGGAGAGAGAGACAGGACAAGGUUGCAGGAGGAAAAACAAUCUGUCUUCUGCCUGCUUGUUUAUACUUAAUGAUAGCUUUGCUAAUGUAGUACUUGUACUUGGUUUGAUGAGCUGACGAAGAUUGUCAAGCAUUUGUAUAGGCUUAACUUAUGGAAUGUUGAUGCUUAUGAUGUAUUUGAAGUCCUUUAGUUGUGUCUUUUUUUUUUUGGUUAUUAUAAUC
rnacentral:misc_RNA from 1 species